rnacentral:antisense_RNA from 1 species
UGUGGGAGCUGGCUUGCCUGCGAUAGCGGUGGUUCAGUCAAUAAACACGUCGACUGAUACUCCGCUAUCGCAGGCAGGCCAGCUCCCACA